rnacentral:rRNA from 1 species
UACGUAGGGGGCAAGCGUUGUCCGGAUUUAUUGGGCGUAAAGAGCUCGUAGGUGGUUCGGUAAGUCGGAUGUGAAAUCUCCAGGCUCAACCUGGAGGGGUCAUUCGAUACUGCCGUGACUAGAGGUCGGUAGGGGAGUGUGGAAUUCCUGGUGGAGCGGUGAAAUGCGCAGAUAUCUGGAGGAACACCGGUGGCGAAGGCGGCAUCCUGGACCGACACUGACGCUGAUGAGCGAAAGCCAGGGGAGCAAACGGG